GUCUGCAGCUUCACUCCUGAGCCAGUGAGACCACGAACCCACCAGAAGGAAAAAACUUCAAACAUAUCCGAACAGCAAAAGGAACAGACUCCGGACACGCCACCUUUAAGAACUGUAACACCCACUGCAAGGGUCUGCGGCUUCAUUCUUUAAGUCAGUGAGACCAAGAACCCGCCAAUUCCGGACCCAAGAUCACAAAUCUGAAACCAACCAGCAAUAUGACCCUUGGCAAUUUACCUAACACCCGCGAACCUCAGUUUCCUAACCUGUAAGUUGGGGGUGAUAAUACCAAUUUCCAAAAAGAUGUUGUGAGCAAUAAUGCAAUACUAUGAAUAAAGCAAUUGAUGGAGGGCCUGGCUAUUGCUGAUUAUCAUCAUCAAGCUCUUUGUCUAAUAGCAUUUGGGGAAAGGAAUGAAAUUCCCAGAUGAGAGACAAAGUUGACCAUCAGAGUCUGCAGAGUUUGCAUACCCACAUGGUAUCAGAGGUCUCCAGUAAACGCAGUUACUCCUGGGAUCCAUGAAGACAGGACAAACAGUGAGCUGGUAGCAGCAAAAGCUAAUCAAGUUAAUUGAGAUUCUAUGACCAGGCUCUGAUGUCAGCACAACCCAUUAUUUUGGAGAGUUCUUUCCGGCCUGAAAGUGAUGCUUAUUGCUUUAUUCACAAUCUACUGGCAAGAACUCAGCCACGAGGCCACACAUGAUCUCAAGGGAUGCCAAAAAAACAUAAAUUUAAAAAAUACAUCACAUGUAAUGAAAUGAAGCCUAGCCACCUGCCCAGGAAGAAGAGGAAAUGGGAUCAAUUAUCAUUCACCAGUGCCACACUGUCCAAGCUGGCUUCACAGAAGCCUCAGUUGAGUCAGUGCCAGCCCUACUCUCCUCCCUGGUACUUAAUGGUCUGUCAACAGCAGUGAUGCAGAAGCAAGGGUGCUGGAAUGGAGACAGGAGUCCUAGUGCUGACUGCCACUGGCUGUAUGACUCUGGGGACUACCAUGAAUCCUACUUACCGCACUGGAGAGCUGUGCAGAUGGAAGGAAGUGGGAGAUGUGGAAACACUUUCAACAACUGAAGCAGCAGGCCAAGAAAAGGUGUCAAUAGCUGUGCUUUUGCCCACAAAAAAGUGAGUCUUCUUCAUUAAUGUAUGUCUUGAACAUGGAACCCGUCCCCUCCAGGUUGUUGACUGGGCUGUGCCCCCUGUUGUCAGAGAAGUGUCAGUGUCUGGGACCAUCUACUGGUGAUAUUUCCCUGCUCAGAAGAGUCAUGACCACAGACCCCAGGCAUUUCCUCUUGGCAGGCACUGUGCCCAGAGUUUUAGGAACAGGCUCACUGAGUCCAUACAUCAGAAGGUAGGUCCUAGGGCCACUCUUGUACAGAAAAGGAAAUGAACCUUGGAGAAGCAGGGGCCACACUCGAGGCUGUAUGGCUACUGAGGGGCAGAGCCAGAUCCCAAACCCCUCACUCCAACAUGGUGUGUGACUGUGUCCAUCUGUGACACAUGCAGCUCCCUUCAGCCUGGAAAUGAACCAAAACUUCAAAUCCUUUGGGCUUCACUUGGAGCCAUUUUGUUCAGGCAGAGAUUCUGGGGCCCUGGGAAGUGGUGAUAUCAGAGGUAGUGGAUGGGUUCUGUCUUCACUGGUCCCAGAGUCCAGGUGCUGUGUGUUCCAGUCCCCUCUCAAAGCCCACCAAUCUCUCCAAGAAGAGCUCCAGGUGGGAGCUUUGCCUGGCUUAGGGCCAUAACUGCAGAUCUGAGAUUAGCACCUGCCAUGCAUCCCGUGCUCCAUCAACAUGCACUGGAUGAAGGCUGCAGGCAGGACU